rnacentral:rRNA from 1 species
GAUCAUGGCUCAGGAUGAACGCUAGCGGCAGGCCUAACACAUGCAAGUCGAACGGUAACAUGGAUUGCUUGCAAUCUGAUGACGAGUGGCGCACGGGUGCGUAACGCGUAUGCAAUCUACCUUUUACAGGAGAAUAGCCCAGAGAAAUUUGGAAUAAUGCUCCAUAAUAUCAUUUGUCAGCAUUGGUUUAUGAUUAAAGCUCCGGCGGUAAAAGAUGAGCAUGCGUUCUAUUAGCUAGUAGGUGAGGUAACGGCUCACCUAGGCUACGAUAGAUAGGGGCCCUGAGAGGGGGAUCCCCCACACUGGUACUGAGACACGGACCAGACUCCUACGGGAGGCAGCAGUGAGGAAUAUUGGACAAUGGAGGAAACUCUGAUCCAGCCAUGCCGCGUGCAGGACGACUGCCCUAUGGGUUGUAAACUGCUUUUAUAUAGGAAGAAACACUCCCACGUGUGGGGGCUUGACGGUACUAUAUGAAUAAGGAUCGGCUAACUCCGUGCCAGCAGCCGCGGUAAUACGGAGGAUCCAAGCGUUAUCCGGAAUCAUUGGGUUUAAAGGGUCCGCAGGCGGCCUGUUAAGUCAGAGGUGAAAUCCUACAGCUCAACUGUAGAACUGCCUUUGAUACUGAUAGGCUUGAGUUAUUGUGAAGUGGUUAGAAUGUGUGGUGUAGCGGUGAAAUGCUUAGAUAUCACACAGAAAUACCCAUUGCGAAGGCAGAUCACUAACAAUAUACUGACGCUCAUGGACGAAAGCGUGGGGAGCGAACAGGAUUAGAUACCCUGGUAGUCCACGCCGUAACGAUGGAUACUAACUGUUCGACCUUCGGGUUGAGUGGUCAAGCGAAAGUGAUAAGUAUCC